UCUUAUGGAUGAGCAAAGAAUGUGGUUUCUUGAGAUGGAAUCCAUUCCCGGUGAGGACACUGUGAA
rnacentral:pre_miRNA from 1 species